AUUGAACGCUGGCGGCAGGCCUAACACAUGCAAGUCGAGCGGAUGACGGGAGCUGGCUCCUUGAUUCAGCGGCGGACGGGUGAGUAAUGCCUAGGAAUCUGCCUGGUAGUGGGGGACAACGUUUCGAAAGUAACGCUAAUACCGCAUACGUCCUACGGGAGAAAGCAGGGGACCUUCGGGCCUUGCGCUAUCAGAUGAGCCUAGGUUGGAUUAGCUAGUUGGUGGGGUAAUGGCUCACCAAGGCGACGAUCCGUAACUGGUCUGAGAGGAUGAUCAGUCACACUGGAACUGAGACACGGUCCAGACUCCUACGGGAGGCAGCAGUGGGGAAUAUUGGACAAUGGGCGAAAGCCUGAUCCAGCCAUGCCGCGUGUGUGAAGAAGGUCUUCGGAUUGUAAAGCACUUUAAGUUGGGAGGAAGGGCAGUAAGCUAAUACCUUGCUGUUUUGACGUUACCGACAGAAUGAGCACCGGCUAACUCUGUGCCAGCAGCCGCCGUAA
rnacentral:rRNA from 1 species